rnacentral:rRNA from 1 species
AGUGAACGCUGGCGGCAGGCCUAACACAUGCAAGUCGAGCGGCAGCGGGUCCUUCGGGAUGCCGGCGAGCGGCGGACGGGUGAGGAAUACAUCGGAAUCUACCCUGUCGUGGGGGAUAACCUAGGGAAACUUAGGCUAAUACCGCAUACGACCUACGGGUGAAAGCGGGGGAUCGCAAGACCUCGCGCGACAGGAUGAGCCGAUGUCCGAUUAGCUAGUUGGCGGGGUAAAGGCCCACCAAGGCGACGAUCGGUAGCUGGUCUGAGAGGAUGAUCAGCCACACUGGGACUGAGACACGGCCCAGACUCCUACGGGAGGCAGCAGUGGGGAAUAUUGGACAAUGGGCGCAAGCCUGAUCCAGCCAUGCCGCGUGGGUGAAGAAGGCCUUCGGGUUGUAAAGCCCUUUUGUCCGGGAAGAAAUCGUCUGGGCUAAUACCCCGGGCGGAUGACGGUACCGGAAGAAUAAGCACCGGCUAACUUCGUG